rnacentral:rRNA from 1 species
UACAGAGGGGGCAAGCGUUGUUCGGAAUUACUGGGCGUAAAGGGCGCGUAGGCGGCCUGUUAAGUCGAACGUGAAAUCCCCGGGCUCAACCCGGGAACUGCGUCCGAUACUGGCAGGCUUGAAUUCGGGAGAGGGAUGCGGAAUUCCAGGUGUAGCGGUGAAAUGCGUAGAUAUCUGGAGGAACACCGGUGGCGAAGGCGGCAUCCUGGACCGAGAUUGACGCUGAUGCGCGAAAGCCAGGGGAGCAAGCGGG